GGGUCAGUAGGUUGGUCGUGCCACCGGUACGUACUGGUCUCACUGAUUCCUCCUUCCUGUAGAACCGUAAUGCCAUUAAUUUGGUGUUGCGGGGAAACAGGACUGUUACUUUGAAAAAAUUAGAGUGUUUAAAGCAAGCUAACGCUUGAAUACAUUAGCAUGGAAUAAUGAAAUAGGACGAUCGAUCCUAUUUUGUUGGUUUCUAGGAUUGACGUA
rnacentral:rRNA from 1 species